GAUGAACGCUGGCGGCGUGCCUAAUACAUGCAAGUCGAGCGAACUGAUUAGAAACUUGCUUCUAUGACGUUAGCGGCGGACGGGUGAGUAACACGUGGGCAACCUGCCUGUAAGACUGGGAUAACUUCGGGAAACCGAAGCUAAUACCGGAUAGGAUCUUCUCCUUCAUGGGAGAUGAUUGAAAGAUGGUUCCGGCUAUCACUUACAGAUGGGCCCGCGGUGCAUUAGCUAGUUGGUGAGGUAACGGCUCACCAAGGCAACGAUGCAUAGCCGACCUGAGAGGGUGAUCGGCCACACUGGGACUGAGACACGGCCCAGACUCCUACGGGAGGCAGCAGUAGGGAAUCUUCCGCAAUGGACGAAAGUCUGACGGAGCAACGCCGCGUGAGUGAUGAAGGCUUUCGGGUCGUAAAACUCUGUUGUUAGGGAAGAACAAGUACGAGAGUAACUGCUCGUACCUUGACGGUACCUAACCAGAAAGCCACGGCUAACUACGUGCCAGCCGCCGCCGUAACAC
rnacentral:rRNA from 1 species